rnacentral:SRP_RNA from 1 species
GCUAGGUUUGGUGGCACACGCCUAUAGCCCCAGCUACUUGGGAGGCUGAAGCAGGAGGAUCCCUAGAGCCCAGGAAUUCUGGGCUGUGGUGCACUAUGCCGGUUGGGUGUAAGUUUGGCAUCAAUAUGGUGAUCUCCCUGAAGCGGGAAACCACAAACUUGCCUAAGGAGGGGUGAACCCAGCCCAGAUUGGAAAUGGAGCAGGCCAAAACUCCCAGGCUGAUCAGUAAUGGGAUCUUGCCUAUGAAUAGCCAGUGCACUGCAGCCUGGGCAACACAGUGAGAACCUGUCUUA